CAUCUUUACGCAGCCACGCAGUGAGCACAGAGCGAACUAUUCUUUCGCCUUUUACUAAAGAAUACCGUGUGCUCGCUGCAUAUAGUGGCAUACGCCAAUUUUUGGAGGGAUCUCUACCUAUAAGGUGGAGGCCCAACAACGCCAGUUUUGAAAUCGUCACAAGACCACCUCAAGAAGACCUUUUCUCGAGGAACAACUCAUUAAAAUUAUCGAGACAAGGCAAUGUACAUGGUCUCAAUUUGACCCCCAAGCCAUAUCAACUAGAUAACAUCAAAGCUCAGAUGGACCACAGCUCCCGAUCCCCUGCGAGGAAAGACAACACGAACAAAGAUAUGCCCAUGGAUAGAAUUCAGCUGCGCUCCCUCCCGCAAAUCAAAACCAGCCAGGAACCUUCAUGUUGCUUCACUAACCCAUGCAGCUAUCAGUCGGAGGCCGGCACAGAAACUUCGUAACGUGAUUUUAUAUUUGGUCGGAUAUCAAACUUCAUCGUUUUGUUUCAUUGGUAAACGUCAACAUUCUAUGCAUCAUAUUUUCAUGUACUGUCUUUUUUGCAACAUUUUCAUAAUUUAUGUAUGAAUAAAGAUUUAAUUUUCGAGGAA